GUUAAAUGAGGUCAAGGAAGUAACUUCAGAGGAGGAUCUGAUGGAUAUGGAAGUGGUCGUGGAUUUGGGGAUGGCUAUAAUGGGUAUGGAGGAGGACCUGGAGGAAAUUAUGGAAGUGGAAAUUUUAAUAAUUUUGGAAAUUAUAAUCAGCAACCUACUAACUAUGGUCCAAUGAAGAGUGGAAACUUUGGUGGUAGCAGGAACAAGGGGGGACCAUAUGGUGGAGGAAACUAUGGUCCAGGAGGCAGUGGAGGAAGUGGGGGUUAUGGAGGGAGAAGCCGAUAUUGAGCUUCUUUCUAUUGACCAUGGGCUUCACUGUAUAAGUAGGAGAGGAUGAGAGCCCAGAGGUAACAGAACAACUUCAGGUUAUCGAAAUAACAAUGUUAAGGAAACUCUCAUCUCAGUCAUGCAUAAAUAUGCAGACUACACCAGAGUAGAUGCAGAGAGCCAUUUUGUGAAUGGAUUGGAUUAUUUAAUAACAUUACCUACCAGGGAGGAAAGAUUGUAAAAACAAAAAAUAAUGCCUUUGAGACAGUUUCUUAGCUUUUUAAUUGUUGUUUCUUUCUAGUGGUCUUUGUAAGAGUACAGAAGCAGUCCUUCUUUGAUAAUGUUAAAUUUGUAAGUUUCAGGUGACAUGUGAAACCUUUUUUAAGAUUUUUCUCAAAGUUUUGAAAAGCUAUUAGCCAGGAUCAUGGUGUAAUAAGACAUAACAUUUUUCCUUUAAAAAAAAUUUAAGUGCGUGGGUAGAGUUAAAAAGCUGUUAUACAUUUAUGAUUUAAUAAAAUAAUUCUAAAGGAAAAAAA